UGAUGGAAGUGCUAUGUGGCUUCUGAGGCUAGGUCUUUAAAAGAAUAGCUUUCUCUCUCUCUUCCUCUUUUUCUCUCAUCAUUUGCUCUGGGGAAGGCAGCAGCCAUGGCAUGUAGCUCCUCAAGCAUCCCAGUGGAGAGGUUGACGUGAAGAGGGGCUGAGAUGUUCCACCAAGUACCGUCUGCCAGCUACGUAGGUCAGCCGUUUUGGAAGCAGACCGUCAGCCCAGUCCAGGCUCCAUGUGACUGCCGAGCUUCGGCCUGCAUCUUGCUGCAACCUCAUGAGAGACCUGAGCCAGAACUGCCCAGCCAAGCUGCCCCCGGAUCCCUGAUCCACAGAAACUGUGAGUGUAGACUGUAAGCUCCAGGAGGCCUAUUUCCAUGGACUGUUUCUACUCACCACUGCGCAUGGCGCGCAACAGGUUAAGCCAGCUGCCAGAGCUUCUGCGACCAACUCCGGCUCACAUUACCCUCGCGUGGAAAGAUGGGCCUGGCCCAAGCUGCAUUAUGAAAGCAGAGAACUAUCUCUCUCCCAGAUUAUGGCAAAAGAACUGGUUGCCAUACAUAUGGUGACCAGAGUUUUCAGCAAUCUUACUUUCGCUCCUCAAGAAAAUGAACAAAACAUGGCACACAGACAUGGCCAGAAUGGGUAAGAUUUUAACAACCUGCCAGUUGGAGGUAAUGGCUCAAAAAAAAAAAGAGGAAAUUUGACCAUUCUGAGUGAUAAAUAAUUGUCAAGCUACUCAUUUCCUAACAAAGUGGAAAAAUAAUAAAAAUAGAGAUAAAUCUUUGGUGCUACACGGGAUAAAAUGAUUGUUAGGGUAGGAUUUGUUUAACUGGAGAGACAUCCUCCCCCCAGCUAACCCACGGAGGGUUGUCAUUGGUCACAAUAGAACUCAGAGCAUCAGUUUAUGGAAUCAGUGGGGGUAACCAAUACUGAAAAGGCACUACUGAUGAAAUCUGUUACUUUCUUCACUUGUCCACUCUUCUCCUUUGACCUUGAGGAUGCUCCUCAAAAUGAUGUUACCCCAAAGUAGCAACAAUCUUUUUGAAAUAAAACCUAA